rnacentral:rRNA from 1 species
GACGAACGCUGGCGGCGUGCUUAACACAUGCAAGUCGAACGGAAAGGCCCUGCUUUUGUGGGGUGCUCGAGUGGCGAACGGGUGAGUAACACGUGAGUAACCUGCCCUUGACUUUGGGAUAACUUCAGGAAACUGGGGCGAAUACCGGAUAGGAGCUCCUGCUGCACGGUGGGGGUUGGAAAGUUUCGGCGGUUGGGGAUGGACUCGCGGCUUAUCAGCUUGUUGGUGGGGUAGUGGCUUACCAAGGCUUUGACGGGUAGCCGGCCUGGGAGGGUGACCGGCCACAAUGGGACUGCGAUACGGCCCAGACUCCUACGGGCGGCAGCAGUGGGGAAUAUUGCGCAGUGGGCGGAAGCCUGAUGCGGCAGCGCCGCGUGCGGGAUGACGGCCUUCGGGUUGUAAACCGCUUUCGACUGUGCCGAAGCGUGAGUGACGGUAAUGGGUAAAGAAGCACCGGCUAACUACGUG